GCCAGCAACAAUACGUUGAAUAGGUACACCGGUUCACAAUAGAUCACUGAAGUUAAGGAACGAAGCGCGUGGUUAGAAUCCGGAUGGGUGAAGAUUUGGGCUAUCGCGUGAUGCUGGCU
rnacentral:rRNA from 1 species